UACCAGCUCUCCGAGUGGUAGGGAUGAUUAUUGGGCUUAAAGCGUCCGUAGCCGGCUUAGCAAGUCUCCUGUUAAAUUCAGCGACCUAAUCGUUGAGCCGCGGGAGACACUACUAGGCUAGGAGGCGGGAGAGGCCGACGGUAUUCUCGGGGUAGGGGUGAAAUCCUAUAAUCCCGGGAGGACCACCAGUGGCGAAGGCUGUCGGCUAGAACGCGCUCGACGGUGAGGGACGAAAGCUGGGGGAGCGAACCGGAUUAGAUACCCGGGUAGUCCCAGCUGUAAACGAUGCGGGCUAGGUGUUGGGGUGGCUACGAGCCACUUCAGUGCCGCAGGGAAGCUGUUAAGCCUGCCGCCUGGGGAGUACGGCCGCAAGGCUGAAACUUAAAGGAAUUGGCGGGGGAGCACCACAAGGGGUGAAGCUUGCGGUUU
rnacentral:rRNA from 1 species